UACGUAGGGUGCAAGCGUUGUUCGGAAUUAUUGGGCGUAAAGAGCUCGUAGGCGGUCUGUCGCGUCGGCUGUGAAAACCCAGGGCUCAACCCUGGGCCUGCUUCCGAUACGGGCAGACUAGAGGUAUGCAGGGGAGAAUGGAAUUCCUGGUGUAGCGGUGAAAUGCGCAGAUAUCAGGAGGAACACCGGUGGCGAAGGCGGUUCUCUGGGCAUUACCUGACGCUGAGGAGCGAAAGUGUGGGGAGCGAACAGG
rnacentral:rRNA from 1 species